GGGCCCGCACAAGCAGUGGAGUAUGUGGUUUAAUUCGAGGCAACGCGAAGAACCUUACCAGGGUUUGACAUCCCGCGCUCGGGGUAGAGAUACCCUUUUCCCUUCGGGGACGCGGAGACAGGUGGUGCAUGGUUGUCGUCAGCUCGUGUCGUGAGAUGUUCGGUUAAGUCCGGCAACGAGCGCAACCCUCGUUGUCAGUUGCCAUCAUUUGGUUGGGCACUCUGGCGAGACUGCCGUUGACAAAACGGAGGAAGGUGGGGAUGACGUCAAAUCAUCAUGCCCCUUAUGUCCUGGGCUACACACGUACUACAAUGGGCGUUACAACGGGCAGCGAAACCGCGAGGUGGAGCGAAUCCCCAAAGGCGCCCUCAGUUCGGAUUGCAGGCUGAAACUCGCCUGCAUGAAGCCGGAAUUGCUAGUAAUGGCAGGUCAGCAUACUGCCGUGAAUACGUUCCCGGGCCUU
rnacentral:rRNA from 1 species